UUUGAAUCAACGGGGAAGCUGGGCAAUGUAGGGUGUGGGGUGAUGGGUUCCCUCCACCGGACACCAUCCGAUUCACCACAGUGCCUGGCGAUUCCGGUGGCCCAUCUGAUGAGGUACUCGGCCAUUCCAGAUUUGGAUGCUCCCAUCUUGCACAGAUGGGUGGGAGGAACAAUGAUCUACCAUAGACCAAACUCAGAAGAGAAAAUGGCUGCACACCACUUGUUAUUGAUGCUCUUCAGCUAAAACCAGUCUACUUUGUCAUCUACAGUCUAUAGCCCACCCUGAACAAUGAUAUGUUUCUCUCACAGGACUUGGUGGUAAAUCUACUCUUUCUCAAAGACAGCUGCUUAAGCAGCUACUCAUUAACAAUGUCACACAAUAAAGACACAAAUACAAAGACCAGACCUUAGAGCUAAACAAAAAGCUAACUUUCCAUCCUAUGUCUAUUCAAGAAACACUGUUACACCACCUAAUAAAACUUGGCCACAGCAUUUGUUCCUUUUCCAAUUCAUGUGCAUCUCACCCUCUCUUUCCCCAUGUCUGUAUAAAUAAAUGAGCAAAGAACAGAUGAAGCAAAACACCCAUAAGAUCUAUACAGUACUGAGAAACCAGAAAGCUUCUAGUUUACUACAAUGUAUCACUACUUUAUUUUGAUCAUUUGGCUUUUUGACAAUGGUUAAAGGUCUUACUGUUAUUGUUAGCUAUCUUGAGUAUUUUUGGGGAGAAACGAAGGAAGAUUAUUAUUAUUAUUAUUAUUAUUA